rnacentral:rRNA from 1 species
UGGUUUGAGAGAACGACCAGCCACACUGGGACUGAGACACGGCCCAGACUCCUACGGGAGGCAGCAGUGGGGAAUAUUGCACAAUGGGCGCAAGCCUGAUGCAGCGACGCCGCGUGGGGGAUGACGGCCUUCGGGUUGUAAACUCCUUUCGCUAGGGACGAAGCGUUUUGUGACGGUACCUGGAGAAGAAGCACCGGCUAACUACGUGCCAGCAGCCGCGGUAAUACG